rnacentral:rRNA from 1 species
AUUGAACGCUGGCGGAAUGCUUUACACAUGCAAGUCGAACGGCAGCACGGGAGCUUGCUCCUGGUGGCGAGUGGCGAACGGGUGAGUAAUGCGUCGGAACGUACCGAGUAAUGGGGGAUAACGCAGCGAAAGCUGUGCUAAUACCGCAUACGCCCUGAGGGGGAAAGUGGGGGAUCGCAAGACCUCACGUUAUUCGAGCGGCCGACGUCUGAUUAGCUAGUUGGUGAGGUAAUGGCUCACCAAGGCGACGAUCAGUAGCGGGUCUGAGAGGAUGAUCCGCCACACUGGGACUGAGACACGGUCCAGACUCCUACGGGAGGCAGCAGUGGGGAAUUUUGGACAAUGGGGGCAACCCUGAUCCAGCCAUUCCGCGUGAGUGAAGAAGGCCUUCGGGUUGUAAAGCUCUUUCAGCUGGAACGAAACGGUACGCGCUAACAUCGUGUGCUAAUGAC